GACGUAGGGCGCGAGCGUUGUCCGGAUUUAUUGGGCGUAAAGAGCGUGUAGGCGGCCUGGUAGGUCAGCUGUGAAAACUCGAGGCUCAACCUCGAGACGCCGGUUGAAACCAUCAGGCUAGAGUCCGGAAGAGGAGAGUGGAAUUCCCGGUGUAGCGGUGAAAUGCGCAGAUAUCGGGAAGAACACCCGUGGCUAAGGCGGCUCUCUAGUACGGUACUGACGCUGAGACGCGAAAGCGUGGGGAGCGAACAGG
rnacentral:rRNA from 1 species